rnacentral:rRNA from 1 species
GUCCACGCCGUAAACGAUGGGCACUAGGUGUUCGGGUAUUGACCCCCUGAGUGCCGCAGCUAACGCAUUAAGUGCCCCGCCUGGGGACUACGGCCGCAAGGUUAAAACUCAAAGGAAUUGACGGGGCCCGCACAAGCGGUGGAGCAUGUGGUUCAAUUCGACGCAACGCGAAGAACCUUACCUGGGCUAGACAACGUCGGACAGCCCUAGAAAUAGGAUUUUCCCGCAAGGGACCGGCGGUUCAGGUGCUGCAUGGCUGUCGU